ensembl:vault_RNA Vault Vault RNA
ACGCUGGUUUAGCUCAGUGGUUACUUCAACUGAAAUCCUGUUUUAAGGUCCGCGGGCCUUAAGUACGAACCACGGGCGCUGUCCUGCGUUUUG